GAUGAACGCUGGCGGCGUGCCUAAUACAUGCAGGUCGAGCGAACGGACGAGAAGCUUGCUUCUCUGAUGUUAGCGGCGGACGUGUGAGUAACACGUGGAUAACCUACCUAUAAGACUGGGAUAACUUCGGGAAACCGGAUCUAAUACCGGAUAAUAUUUUGAACCGCAUGGUUCAAAAGUGAAAUACGGUCUUGCUGUCACUUAUAGAUGUAUCCGCGCUGCAUUAUCUAGUUGGUAAGGUAACGGCUUACCAAGGCAACGAUGCAUAGCCGACCUGAGAGGGGGAUCGGCAAAAGAGGAACUGAGAAACGGUACAGAGACCGACGGGAGGCAGAAGGAGGGAAUCUGCCGAAAAGGGCGAAAGACUGAAGGAGAAACGCCGCGGGAGUGAUGAAGGUCUGCGGAUCGUAAAACGCUGUUAGUAGGGAAGAACAUAUGUGUAAGUAACUGUGCACAUGUUGACGGAACCGAAACAGAAAGCCACGGCUAACUACGU
rnacentral:rRNA from 1 species